AUUUAUAUGACGUAGUUAGCAAAUAUGAAGCCUGGGUAAUACCUAGGAAGGCAAGAAAGGUGAAAAUAUUGAUUCUCGAAAAGCUACCUCUAGACAAUUACAAGAUUUUAAAGUAUAUUAUGCAGUUUUUGUGGAAGGUACAAGAUCGUAGCUGCCUAAAUAAGAUGACAAGCAGCAACUUAGCUGUGGUCUUCGGGCCCAAUUUACUAUGGCCGCGGGAUGGAAAUGUUUCAUUACAAUCUAUCGGACCAAUAAACGCAUUUACCGAUUUUUUAAUCACACACCAGGAAUCCAUAUUUAUUAUUUAAAAUGUAUACGAAUUGUGAGUAACCUAUGAAUCUGACACAUAUCACAAUCAUUUGUUUGUUCUUUUAUUUUUUGAUUUAUUUAUUGUUACGUGACCUGGUAAACUACCGUUGUGUUCCAUUGUUAUUAUCGGCCAGUUAUGUGAAAAAAUAAAUAACUUUUAAUAAAAUUAAUAUGUGACGUUGAAAGACUAAAACAAAUAACCCACUUAUAUUUAACGUCACUGUAUCAAAAUUAAACGUAACUCUUGUAAUAAUGCCAGUUUAAUAGAACAGUUUAUAAAACUAAUAUCUGUAUUUACAUUCGCGUAUGUACCUUGUAGUUUGUGUAAGUUUUAAUUUGGUGGAUGACAUUAAAACACUAUAAGAACUAAUUAAGUGUAUAAAACUAUAUUAUUCCACUCUAAGAGGAACUCCAGAUUAUGUGAUUAUUUUUGUGUUAAGAAAUCGUCAACAUUUGCGUCUUAUUUAUUACUAGUAGACUGUUUGUUCACCUAUUGCUAUUAUUUUUCUGCUAUUCACAUUAAAGGUCUAAGAGGCUUAUUCGAAACCAGUACCUAUAUAAUUUAAACUCCAA